rnacentral:tRNA from 1 species
GCCCAUAUAGCUCAGUCGGUAGAGCACUUCCUUGGUAAGGAAGAGGUCACCGGUUCAAUUCCGGUUAUGGGCUCCA